AUGGCGAUGGCGGCGGUGCCGCUCGGCGUGCUGCUGCGGCGGGAGGUCACGAGCGAGCGGAUGGAGCGCCCGGACGUGCUCUGCGGGGAGGCCAGCCGCAGCCGCAAGGGCGAGGACGUCACGCUGCUCCUCGCCGACGCUGGCCAGCGCGUCGCCGGCGACCCCUCCACCUCCUUCUCCGUCUUCGCGCUGUUUGAUGGCCACCAUGGAUCUGGAGCGGCCAUAUACGCAAAGAACAAUCUGCUCAACAAUGUCCUGCGUGCUACCCCUUCAGGUUUGACCAGGGAUGAGUGGCUUGCAGUGCUUCCACGUUCACUCGUUGCAGCAUUUGUCAAGACAGAUAAGGAUUUGCAAGCCGCAGCUGAAAGUUCUGGUACAACUGUGACAUUUGUGAUAAUAGACGAGUGGGUUGUAACAGUAGCAUCAGUUGGUGAUUCGCGCUGCAUACUAGAGUCAGCUGAUGGUUCACUAUACCAUUUGUCAGCUGAUCAUCGCUUUGACUCCAACCGAGAUGAGGUGGAACGUGUAACUGCAUGGGGAAGCAAGGUUGGAAAACUGAAUGUUGUUGGUGGUCCAGAGGUUGGUCCUUUAAGAUGCUGGCCAGGUGGUUUGUGCCUAUCUAGAUCAAUUGGGGAUAUGGAUGUUGGUGAAUGCAUCAUCCCUGUUCCUCACGUGAAGCAAGUGAAGCUAUCCAAUGCUGGAGGCAGAAUUAUCAUUGCAAGUGAUGGUGUAUGGGAUGAUUUGACUUUUGAAAUGGCUCUUGAAUGUUCUCGUGGAUAUCCAUCCGAUAUAGCUGCCAAUCGAAUUGUUAAUGAAGCAACCCUACCUCGAGGACUAAGAGAUGAUACUACCUGCAUCGUGGUGGACAUACUACCCCCAGAAAAACUAGCUCCUAGUCCUCCAGCAAAGUGGCAGGGGAAAACCGUACUCAAUAAUAUGUUCCGUGUUGAUCUGAAGAAUAACAUGUUCCGCCGAAAAAAUUCAGAUGCAUCUUUUAAAAUAGAUAGAGAAUAUGCUGAGCCGGAUGUGGUGGAAGAAAUAUUUGAGGACGGGUCUGCCAUGCUUUCAAGAAGGCUUAGUACAGGAUACGCACUUCGGAACAUGUUUGAACCCUCCAGCUGUGCGAUCUGCCAGUUUAGACUGAAAUCUGGUCAGGGGAUUUCCAUACAUGCUAACCCGCUGCAACACGAAAAAAUGCAAGGUUGGCAAGGUCCUUUCCUCUGCCAAAGCUGCCAUGAAAAGAAGAAAGCAAUGGAGGGUAAACGGCGUCCAAUAGAUUAG
rnacentral:rRNA from 1 species